rnacentral:rRNA from 1 species
GCUUGUCUCAAAGAUUAAGCCAUGCAUGUCUAAGUAUAACUCUUUUACUUUGAAAACUGCGAACGGCUCAUUAUAUCAGCAAGACGUAGGAAUAACACUGUCAACUGCAGCGAUAAUGCCUGAAAAACGUGUGAAUUUAGUAGCACAAAUACUAGAGUAUGGAUGAGUCCGCUCUAUUCAGGAGGGUUUUCCCUCUGUUGACCAUCGAGUUCGAGGGUUGAAUACUUAGGCUUCGGCUUCUGUUGAAAGCUUUAUCGGUGGCCGGGAAGAUAUGUUUCUAAUCUAUUAGCCAGACUAUUGGGUAAGGUCCAAUUUUCGGCUAUAAUGGAUACAGGGGAUCGGUGUCCGACUCUGGAGAGAGAGCCUGAGAAACGGCUAUCACAUCUAAGGAAGGCAGCAG